UGCAGGCUGCAACUCGCCUGCACGAAGUUGGAAUUGCUAGUAAUCGUGGAUCAGCAUGCCACGGUGAAUACGUUCCCGGGUCUUGUACACACCGCCCGUCACACCAUGGGAGCCGGUAAUACCCGAAGUCAGUAGUCUAACCGCAAGGAGGACGCUGCCGAAGGUAGGAUUGGCGACUGGGGUGAAGUCGUAACAAGGUAUC
rnacentral:rRNA from 1 species